rnacentral:rRNA from 1 species
UACGAAGGGGGCUAGCGUUGCUCGGAAUCACUGGGCGUAAAGCGCACGUAGGCGGCUUUCUAAGUCAGGGGUGAAAUCCUGGAGCUCAACUCCAGAACUGCCUUUGAUACUGGGAAGCUCGAGUCCGGAAGAGGUGAGUGGAACUCCGAGUGUAGAGGUGAAAUUCGUAGAUAUUCGGAAGAACACCAGUGGCGAAGGCGGCUCACUGGUCCGGUACUGACGCUGAGGUGCGAAAGCGUGGGUAGCAAACAGG